GAAGUUGUUGGCGCGAAUGGAUCCUGAGCCCCGAUAACGGAUUCCUCAACCGGCCCGCCCGCCAGCCAGCCAGCGCCUUCAUCCUGGGGCUGCGAUGGACAUUCGGAAAUUCUUUGGAGUAAUACCAAGUGGAAAGAAACUUGUAAGUGAAACAGUAAAGAAGAAUGAGAAAACAAAGUCUGAUGAAGAAACUUUAAAAGCAAAGAAAGGAAUAAAGGAAAUCAAGGUAAAUAGCUCCCGUAAAGAGGAUGACUUCAAACAAAAGCAACCAAGCAAGAAAAAGAGGAUCAUCUAUGAUUCAGAUUCAGAGUCAGAGGAGACGUUGCCAGUAAAAAAUGCCAAAAAGCAACCAGAAAAACCGCCAGUAUCUUCUAAACCUGGUAAAAUUUCACGGCAGGAUCCUGUUACAUACAUUUCAGAAACAGAUGAAGAAGAUGACUUUAUGUGUAAGAAGGCGGCCUCUAAAUCAAAAGAGAAUGGAAGAUCUACAAAUAGUCAUCUUGGAACAUCAAACAUGAAAAAGAAUGAAGAAAACACUAAGACCAAGAAUAAGCCUUUAUCACCAAUAAAACUUACACCCACAUCAGUACUUGAUUAUUUUGGAACUGGAAGUGUCCAAAGAUCUAAUAAGAAGAUGGUGGCAAGCAAAAGAAAAGAGCUGGAGAGGCAGUUGCAUGAAGAUGAAGAGUUUGCCAGAACAUUAGCCAUGUUGGAUGAAGAACCCAAGACCAAAAAGGUGGCAUAAUGUUGGGCUGUUUGCAAACAGUACAGAUCAGUGUUCAUACUUGCAUGUUCUAGGCUCUAGCCAAAACAUGAAUAACUUUUCCAGAAAGAAGUUAAAUUAUUUUGAUUUAUAAAAAUGUUUUUGG
rnacentral:sRNA from 1 species